rnacentral:rRNA from 1 species
GAUGAACGCUGGCGGCGUGCCUAAUACAUGCAAGUCGAGCGAACAGACGAGGAGCUUGCUCCUCUGACGUUAGCGGAGGACGGGUGAGUAACACGUGGAUAACCUACCUAUAAGACUGGGAUAACUUCGGGAAACCGGAGCUAAUACCGGAUAAUAUAUUGAACCGCAGGGGGCAAUAGUGAAAGACGGUUUUGCGGUCUCGUAUAGAUGGAUCCGCGCCGCAUUAGCUAGUUGGUAAGGUAACGGCUUACCAAGGCAACGAUGCGUAGCCGACCUGAGGGGCUGAUCGGCCACACUGGAACUGAGACACGGUCCAGACUCCUACGGGAGGCAGCAGUCGGGAAUCUUCCGCAACGGGCGAAAGCCUGACGGAGCAACGCCGCGUGAGUGAUGAAGGUCUUCGGAUCGUAAAACUCUGUUAUUAGGGAAGAACAAAUGUGUAAGUAACUAUGCACGUCUUGACGGUACCGAAUCAGAAAGCCCCGGCUAACUACGUG